CGCGCGCCGUUGCUAGGGGCGGAGGCGCGGGCUGUUGUGGAUCCAGGUGGCUGUUGAAGACCCCGGGCCCUCCGCCCUCAGCCGGCCUCAGCUCCCAGCAGGGCCCUGGCGCGUGGAGAUUAGAAAGUGGCUGCCAGAACUAUUUUCCAGAGGAUAAACAUUACAAAUCAUGAAUACGGCAGCUCACCACUAAGAUCCUAUUGGUUUGGGGUAAGUAAUUCUGAAAACUAUCUUUUCCUUUUAAUGUCUCUUGAAUACUUUU
rnacentral:lncRNA from 1 species